rnacentral:hammerhead_ribozyme from 1 species
AUCUAGCUGACGAGUCCCAAAUAGGACGAAACGUAAGUCAAACUGAAU